rnacentral:rRNA from 1 species
GACGUAGGGUGCGAGCGUUGUCCGGAUUUAUUGGGCGUAAAGAGCUCGUAGGCGGCUCGUCGCGUCGACCGUGAAAACCCGCGGCUUAACCCCAAGCUUGCGGUCGAUACGGGCAGACUUGAGUUCGGCAGGGGAGACUGGAAUUCCUGGUGUAGCGGUGAAAUGCGCAGAUAUCAGGAGGAACACCAGUGGCGAAGGCGACUACCUGGCCUGUUCUUGACGCUGAGGCGCGAAAGCCAGGGGGAGCGAACGGGG